rnacentral:rRNA from 1 species
CCUACGGGUGGCAGCAGUGAGGAAUAUUGGUCAAUGGGCGCGAGCCUGAACCAGCCAAGUCGCGUGAGGGAUGACGGCCCUACGGGUUGUAAACCUCUUUUGUCGGGGAGCAAAGAGAGUCACGUUUGGCUCAUUGAGAGUACCCGAAGAAAAAGCAUCGGCUAACUCCGUUCCAGCAGCCGCGGUAAUACGGAGGAUGCGAGCGUUAUCCGGAUUUCUUGGGUUUAAAGGGUGCGCAGGCGGAGGUGCAAGUCAGUGGUCAAAUUGCGGGGCUCAAACACGUACUGCCGUUGAAACUGCAUCCUUUGAGUGCGCGAGAAGUAUGCGGAAUGCGUGGUGUAGCGGUGAAAUGCAUAGAUAUCACGCAGAACUCCGAGUGCGAAGGCAGCAUACCGGCGCGCAACUGACGCUCAUGCACGAAAGCGUGGGUAUCGAACAGGAUUAGAUACCCGAGUAGUC